rnacentral:other from 1 species
CGCGCCCUGCGCGGUUAGACAGUCACCUUUUUUUAACCCACAAUUAGUUUACGGGACUCCGGAUGUUCCUGGCGCCGAGUGCAGGCCUCCCGCUGCGGCGGAAGUUGGAAGCACAGAAGCGCCGGACAGGAGACCCACCUGCCAGGAGCUGUGCAGGUUACUAAUCUGGUGACAUCGGCCGUGCGGGGUUUCU